CCCCUGAUGGUGUAGUUGGAUAUCACGUUCGGCUGUAAAGGGAUUUCUCAUGCUACCGAAAGGUCGCCGGCUCGAUUCCGGCUCGGGGGA
rfam:Tncinocarpus reesii 1704 scaffold_2 genomic scaffold, whole genome shotgun sequence.